CUUCAAACGACGUCUGUUAAACCGGAUAUACCAGUUAGUCAUCUCCUCAAUUAAACCGAGAAGUUGAGGGACCACGGUGUACAAACGGUAUUGUUUCAUUUCUUCAUCAACAAAUCCAAUCAAGCUCUGGCAACGAGCUAAAAUCCAGCGAUCCAUUACAUUGGAACUCAAAGUGGCAGCAUCAUCGAAAACAAAGUCUUUACCAGUAACCUUCUUGUAAAGAGCAGCUUGCGCCUCAAAAAACUUAUAACUGUUCCACCAAGGAAUCAAAACUCUAGUAACAACUUCUCUUACACCAUCUUCCUUAAAUUUAAGAAUCUCAGCACGAACAACUGGAGAGUUGAUGAGAUACAAACGAAGGGCAUCAGAACCAUAUUUUUC